rnacentral:rRNA from 1 species
UGGUGAGGUAACGGCUCACCAAGGCGACGAUGCGUAGCCGACCUGAGAGGGUGAUCGGCCACAUUGGAACUGAGACACGGUCCAGACUCCUACGGGAGGCAGCAGUGGGGAAUAUUGCACAAUGGGCGAAAGCCUGAUGCAGCAACGCCGCGUGAGUGAUGAAGGCUUUCGAGUCGUAAAGCUCUUUGAUCAGGGAUGAUAAUGACAGUACCUGAAAAACAAGCCACGGCUAACUACGUGCCAGCAGCCGCGGUAAUACGUAGGUGGCGAGCGUUGUCCGGAAUUACUGGGCGUAAAGGAUGCGUAGGUGGAUAUUUAAGUGGGAUGUGAAAUCCCCGGGCUCAACCCGGGAACUGCAUCCCAAACUGGAUAUCUAGAGUGCAGGAGAGGAAAGCGGAAUUCCUAGUGUAGCGGUGAAAUGCGUAGAUAUUAGGAGGAACACCAGUGGCGAAGGCGGCUUUCUGGACUGUAACUGACACUGAGGCAUGAAAGCGUGGGUAGCAAACAGGAUUAGAU